rnacentral:rRNA from 1 species
GACGUAGGAGGCGAGCGUUGUCCGGAUUCAUUGGGCGUAAAGAGCUCGUAGGCGGUUUGUCGCGUCUGCUGUGAAAACUCGGGGCUUAACCCCGGGCCUGCAGUGGGUACGGGCAGACUAGAGUGCGGUAGGGGAGACUGGAAUUCCUGGUGUAGCGGUGAAAUGCGCAGAUAUCAGGAGGAACACCGGUGGCGAAGGCGGGUCUCUGGGCUGAUACUGACGCUGAGGAGCGAAAGCGUGGGGAGCGAACAGG